GGAGAUUUAGCUCAGUGGUAGAGUGCUUGCCUAACAAGUGCAAGGCCCUGGGUUCGGUCCCCAGCUCCG
rnacentral:tRNA from 1 species